rnacentral:rRNA from 1 species
AUUGAACGCUGGCGGAAUGCUUUACACAUGCAAGUCGAACGGCAGCACGGACUUCGGUCUGGUGGCGAGUGGCGAACGGGUGAGUAAUACAUCGGAACGUGCCCAAUCGUGGGGGAUAACGUAGCGAAAGCUACGCUAAUACCGCAUACGAUCUAAGGAUGAAAGCGGGGGAUCGCAAGACCUCGCGCGAUUGGAGCGGCCGAUGGCAGAUUAGGUAGUUGGUAGGGUAAAGGCCUACCAAGCCGACGAUCUGUAGCUGGUCUGAGAGGAUGAUCAGCCACACUGGGACCGAGACACGGCCCAGACUCCUACGGGAGGCAGCAGUGGGGAAUUUUGGACAAUGGACGCAAGUCUGAUCCAGCCAUUCCGCGUGCAGGAUGAAGGCCCUCGGGUUGUAAACUGCUUUUGUACAGAACGAAAAGGCUCUGGUUAAUACCUAGGGCUCAUGACGGUACUAUAAGAAUAAGCACCGGCUAACUACGUGCCAGCCGCCGCGGUAA